GAGAGCCCCGUAUGGACGGAUGCCAAACCUGUGUGAAGCUCCUUCGACGAGUCGAGUAGUUUGGGAAUGCUGCUCUAAAUGGGAGGUAAAUUCCUUCUAAAGCUAAAUAUUGGCCAGAGACCGAUAGCGCACAAGUAGAGUGAUCGAAAGAUGAAAAGCACUUUGAAAAGAGGGUUAAACAGCACGUGAAAUUGUUGAAAGGGAAGCGCUUGUGACCAGACUUGAGCGCGGCGGAUCAUCCGGUGUUCUCACCGGUGCACUCCGCCGUGCCCAGGCCAGCAUCGGCUUCCGCGGGGGGACAAAGGUCCCGGGAACGUAGCUCCUCCGGGAGUGUUAUAGCCCGGGGCGCAAUGCCCCCGCGGGGGCCGAGGACCGCGCAUCUGCAAGGAUGCUGGCGUAAUGGUCAUCAGCGACCCGUCUUGAAACACGGACCAAGGAGUCAAGGUUUUGCGCGAGUGUUUGGGUGUUAAACCCGCACGCGUAAUGAAAGUGAACGUAGGUGAGAGCUUCGGCGCAUCAUCGACCGAUCCUGAUGUAUUCGGAUGGAUUUGAGUAGGAGCGUUAAGCCUUGGACCCGAAAGAUGGUGAACUAUGCUUGGAUAGGGUGAAGNCAGAGGAAACUCUGG
rnacentral:rRNA from 1 species